CCUUGUACACACCGCCCGUCACAUCACGAAAGUGGGUUGUACUAGAAGUCGUCGGGCCAACCGCAAGGGGGCAGACGCCCAAGGUAUAAUUCAUGAUUGGGGUG
rnacentral:rRNA from 1 species